rnacentral:rRNA from 1 species
ACUACGGGUGGCAGCAGUGAGGAAUAUUGGUCAAUGGACGAGAGUCUGAACCAGCCAAGUAGCGUGAAGGAUGACUGCCCUAUGGGUUGUAAACUUCUUUUAUAUGGGAAUAAAAUGUUCCACGUGUGGGAUUUUGUAUGUACCAUAUGAAUAAGGAUCGGCUAACUCCGUGCCAUCAGCCGCGGUAAUACGGAGGAUCCGAGCGUUAUCCGGAUUUAUUGUGUUUCACGGGAGCGUAGGUGGAUUGGUAAGUCAGUUGUGAAAGUUUGGGGCUCAACCCUAACAUUGCAGUGGAAACUGGCAGUCGUGAGUACAGUAGAGGUGGGCGGAAUUCGUGGUGUAGCGGGGAAAUGCUUAGAUAUCACGAAGAACUCCGAUUGCGAAGGCAGCUCACUGGACUGCAACUGACACUGAGGCUCGAAAGUGUGGGUAUCAAACAGGAUUAGAUACCCCAGUAGUC